rnacentral:rRNA from 1 species
CCCUUAGAUGUUCUGGGCUGCACGCGCGCUACACUGAUGCGAUCAACAAGUUUUUCCUAUGUCGAUAGACACGGGUAAUCUUUUGAACUCGCAUCGUGAUGGGGAUAGAUUAUUGUAAUUAUUAAUCUUCAACGAGGAAUUCCUAGUAGGUGCAAAUCAUCAGUUUGCAUCGAUUACGUCCCUGCCCUUUGUACACACCGCCCAUCGCUGCUACCGAUUGGUUGAUCUGGUGAAUUAUUCGGACUGCCGGCUGAAGGGGUUUCCUCAUCUGCCAGCGGAAAGUCUUGUUAACCCUAUCAACUAGAGGAAGCAGAAGUCGUAACA